rfam:Eurypyga helias contig67831, whole genome shotgun sequence.
AUAUCGCUUUUUGGUCCUUAUAUUGUGAAGCAGAAUUCACCAGUUGCUGGAUUGUUCACCCACUAAUAGGGAAUGUGAGUUCUCUUAGACCGUCGUGAGACAGGUU